GCGGAAGUGGCGGAAUUGGUAGACGCGCUGGACUAAGGAUCCAGUGGGCGUAAAAGCCCGUGGGGGUUCGACUCCCCCCUUCCGCAUCA
rnacentral:tRNA from 6 species